AGCAUUGCACCCCAGCCUGGGCAACAGAGCAAGACCCUGUCUCAAACAAACCACCAUUAGCUUCAACACCAGAAGGCUCAUAGUGGAAAUGAAUUUUGCCCUAGGAUGAAUCGUAUAUCGAGUCUUCACCCACACCUAACUUAGAAGAGAUGGGGUUUAGCCAUGUUGACAAGGCUGGUUUUGAACUCCUGACCUCAAGUGAUCCACCUGCCUUGGCGUCCCAAAGUGCUGGGAUCAUAGGCACGACCAAGUGAGCCUGCCCAGAAGGUGCUGAAGAACUUGUUUUGUGUCACCAAAUGAGAGAGUCUCUUUCGGAAGGUGGAGCAGGAAGAAAGAGACUCACUAAGGGGGAUACAGCCAAACAAUGAGCAAGUGUUGAAAAGAUAAUCUGCAAUGCUUCUGAGACAAAAUUCAGCUCACAGCAAGUAGAAGUCAUGGUUCCUUAUUAAAGCUGGAAUUUUAUUAAGUUCCUAGCACAACAAUGUUACAAGACCAAUCUUGGCAGCCCAUGGGAAAAGUUUUCCAUUCUUUUUUAGAUUAUCAUGCUUAAUAACUCAGUGCUAAGCUCUAACCUCAGUGGUAACAUCUCCAAAUGUACACAAUUAAAGAGGACAUGCUUCACUUCAUGAUAGAAUUUAAU